GGAGAUGAGUAAUUCAAAAACUUGGGAGGUAAAUGAAUGAAGAGGACAAGGACAAGCCUACCUACAAAUCAAGUUUAAGGCUAGCAUGACUGUCUGUAAGUACUAAAGGACAGUGACUUCCUCAAGGCUGUUUUCUGGAAUUUUCAGGGCACUGAGUCUAUCUAUUCUUGGCUACUUAAAUUGAAAUGUUAAUUUUACUAACCUUAUUUGUGACUUUUGUUAUAGUCAAACGUGCUUCAAAAUGCUCAGUGAAACAAUGGCUAAAGACACUGAGCAGCGAUUCCACAGAACCUUUAAUUUUUCUGCAGGAAAUAUUGAGUGCAUCAAAUUCAUGUGCAACAGUUUCAUCCCUCCGCUUUAUGUGCACCACUGCCUCACAUUUAUUAGCUACUUCUCUUGCUGUGAUAAAAUAUCAUGACCAAAGCAAAUUUAAAGAAAGAGAGGGUUUUGUGUAGGCUCCAGAGGAACAGGAGUCCUUUAUGGAGGCGAAGUGGUAAGCAUUGUGGCUAGAGUAGCAAGCUUAGAG
rnacentral:lncRNA from 1 species